rnacentral:rRNA from 1 species
ACCCGCUGAACUUAAGCAUAUCAAUAAGCGGAGGAAAAGAAACUAACACGGAUUCCCCUAGUAACGGCGAGUGAAGCGGGAAGAGCUCAAAUUUAAAAUCUAGCAGUUUCGCUGCUCGAGUUGUAGUUUAGAGAAGUGUUUUCGAGGGCAAGCUAGGUUAAAGUCCUUUGGAACAGGGCAUCAUAGAGGGUGACAAUCCCGUUUAUGGCCUAGUCCUUGUCCUUGUGCGAUACACUUUCAAAGAGUCGGAUUGUUUGGGAAUGCAGUGCAAAAUGGGUGGUAAAUGCCAUCUAAAGCUAAAUAAUGGCGAGAGACCGAUAGCGAACAAGUACCGUGAGGGAAAGAUGAAAAGAACUUUGAAAAGAGAGUUAAAUAGUACGUGAAAUUGUCAAAAGGGAAACGCUUGAAACCAGUCAUGCACACUUGAAACCGCUAUGGCUCUUGGGCCUGGUGCUCCUUCUUGGGUGCAAGUCAGUAUCAGUUUGGCUUGAAGGAAAAAGUCGCAGGAAGGUAGCCUUCGGGUGUUAUAGACUGUGAUUCUACUUUGAGCUGGACUGAGGGAGGCAGUGUGAUCUUGGAGGACCUUGUCGCCUUUUAAUCAGUGGAUGCAGACAGCUUGCUGAUUGUAGCCACUUUGAUGAAGCCCGGCUUGUUACUACUCUUACACUUACGAUAUUGACGAAAUGGUUUUAAACGACCCGUCUUGAAACACGG